UGCCUAAUACAUGCAAGUCGAACGAACUCUGGUAUUGAUUGGUGCUUGCAUCAUGAUUUACAUUUGAGUGAGUGGCGAACUGGUGAGUAACACGUGGGAAACCUGCCCAGAAGCGGGGGAUAACACCUGGAAACAGAUGCUAAUACCGCAUAACAACUUGGACCGCAUGGUCCGAGUUUGAAAGAUGGCUUCGGCUAUCACUUUUGGAUGGUCCCGCGGCGUAUUACCUAGAUGGUGGGGUAACGGCUCACCAUGGCAAUGAUACGUAGCCGACCUGAGAGGGUAAUCGGCCACAUUGGGACUGAGACACGGCCCAAACUCCUACGGGAGGCAGCAGUAGGGAAUCUUCCACAAUGGACGAAAGUCUGAUGGAGCAACGCCGCGUGAGUGAAGAAGGGUUUCGGCUCGUAAAACUCUGUUGUUAAAGAAGAACAUAUCUGAGAGUAACUGUUCAGGUAUUGACGGUAUUUAACCAGAAAGCCACGGCUAACUACGUGCCAGCAGCCGCGGUAAUACGUAGGUGGCAAGCGUUGUCCGGAUUUAUUGGGCGUAAAGCGAGCGCAGGCGGUUUUUUAAGUCUGAUGUGAAAGCCUUCGGCUCAACCGAAGAAGUGCAUCGGAAACUGGGAAACUUGAGUGCAGAAGAGGACAGUGGAACUCC
rnacentral:rRNA from 2 species